AGUCGAGUCGGUACAGGAGAAGCUAUAGCUAUACUACGCUGACGAGCGGCGGACGGGUGAGUAAUGCGUAGGAAUCUACCCUAUAUAGUGGGGGAUAGCCCGGAGAAAUCCGGAUUAAUACCGCAUGAGCUCUUCGGAGGAAAGUGGGGGAUCUUUGGACCUCACGCUGAAGGAUGAGCCUACGUUGGAUUAGCUAGUUGGUGGGGUAAAGGCCUACCAAGGCGACGAUCCAUAGCUGGUCUGAGAGGAUGAUCAGCCACACCGGGACUGAGACACGGCCCGGACUCCUACGGGAGGCAGCAGUGGGGAAUAUUGGACAAUGGGCGAAAGCCUGAUCCAGCCAUGCCGCGUGUGUGAAGAAGGCUCUAGGGUUGUAAAGCACUUUAAGCAGGGAAGAAACGCUGUUGGUUAAUACCCAUCAGUACUGACGGUACCUGCAGAAUAAGCACCGGCUAACUCCGUGCCAGCAGCCGCGGUAAUACGGAGGGUGCAAGCGUUAAUCGGAUUUACUGGGCGUAAAGCGUGCGUAGGGCGGCUACGUAAGUCAGUUGUGAAAGCCCCGGGCUUAACCCUGGGAACUGCAAUUGAUACUGCGUGCUAGAAUUCGGUAGAGGGAGGGUGAACUCCAGGUGUAGCCGGUGAAUGCGUAGAUAUCUGGGAGGACAUCAAUGGCGAAGGCACCCGUAUCUGGGCCCUGAAUUGACGCUAGAGGUACGAAAGCGUGGGGGCAGCAACCGGGGAUUCAGAAUACCCCUGUAGUCCACGCUAUAAACGGAUGGAGAUCUUGGAUGUUCGGCUUGCUUAGCAACUCAGUAUCCGGAGCUAACUGCGCUAAGUAUCAUCCGCCUUGGAUUACCGGCGCAGGCUUGGAGACCUACAACGAAUUUGACUGGGGACCGCCUAGCGGUGCGAUUCCAUGGGCGAUUAGAUUCCGAUGCAACGCUGUAGAGACCUUAGCCUUGACUUGACAUGCUGCCAGUAUUCUAGACGAUA
rnacentral:rRNA from 1 species